UACGUAGGGCGCAAGCGUUAUCCGGAAUUAUUGGGCGUAAAGAGCUCGUAGGCGGUUUGUCGCGUCUGCCGUGAAAGUCCGGGGCUCAACCCCGGACUUGCAGUGGGUACGGGCAGACUAGAGUGUGGUAGGGGAGACUGGAAUUCCUGGUGUAGCGGUGAAAUGCGCAGAUAUCAGGAGGAACACCGAUGGCGAAGGCAGGUCUCUGGGCCACUACUGACGCUGAGAAGCGAAAGCGUGGGGAGCAAACAGG
rnacentral:rRNA from 1 species